GUUUCGAACUGUGAUAGAAGACCCUAACAAGGUGAUAGAAGACCCUAACAAGGUGAUAGAAGACCCUAACAAGGUGAUAGAAGACCCUAACAAGGUCUUCUAUCACCGGCCAACUGCGCAUUAACGAAAUAUUCAUAUUAUUAACGAUUUAAUGAUACUAUAAGAAAUAUAGUCUGGAUCGGUGCGAAACGUAUUCGCCCAGUAUCAACAACCCUCGACGUGAAGAAGUCACAAAAAAAUCCCAAUGGGUGUGUUUAGCAAAAAAUCUUCGUAAAACCUACGUGAGAAGAACUAAUAUCUACGUCUUUUAACAUAAACUAAUGUUAAACACAGAAAAGUAACACUGAAAAACACCACCGAAUUCACUGUCCUGCUUUAUAGGACGUCCCACGUAACUACGGUUUCCCUUGUGAUACCGCGUGGGCGCGAAUCGCGACACAAAAUGAAAAAAAAAGAAACAAAUUUUGUCGGCACGUAAAAA